UACGGAGGGUGCUAGCGUUAUUCGGAAUUACUGGGCGUAAAGCGCAUGUAGGCGGUUUGUUAGGUUGGGAGUGAAAUCCCGGGGCUUAACCCCGGAGCUGCUUUCAAAACCGGCAAGCUAGAGUUUGGUAGGGGACAGUGGAAUUUCUAGUGUAGAGGUGAAAUUCGUAGAUAUUAGAAAGAACACCGGUGGCGAAGGCGACUGUCUGGGCCAAUACUGACGCUGAGAUGCGAAAGCGUGGGGAGCAAACAGG
rnacentral:rRNA from 1 species